rnacentral:pre_miRNA from 1 species
GUUUACCUGUGUGUAGAUGGUGUUCAGCACCAAUGACAAGUAUGUUGACCUGUGUGUAGAUGGUGUUCAGCACCAAGGACAGGCAUUUUCACCU